AAUCGCUAGUAAUCGCAGAUCAGAAUGCUGCGGUGAAUACGUUCCCGGGUCUUGUACACACCGCCCGUCACACCAUGGGAGUCGGAAAUGCCCGAAGUCAGUGGCCCAACCGCAGGGAGGGAGCUGCCGAAGGCAGGUCCGGUGACUGGGGUGAAGUCGUAACAAGGUACC
rnacentral:rRNA from 1 species